rnacentral:sRNA from 1 species
UGGUAGAUGCACCCUGAUUGAUGGUCUCGGCUUUCGCGCCGAGAUUUUUUUU